rnacentral:rRNA from 1 species
CGUGCUUACCAUGCAGUUGGACGACGGUUUUCUGAAGUAGCAAUACGGAGGGAGAUACGGAGUAGCGGACGGGUGAGUACAACAUGAGAAGCUAUCCCAUAAAGGGGGACAACGUUUGGAAACGGACGCUAAUACCCCAUAAGCCGAGAGGUUAAAGCAGAGAUGCGAUGUGGGAGGUGCUCGUGUCCUAUCAGCUAGUUGGUGAGGUAAGGGCUCACCAAGGCGAUGACGGGUAGCCGGCCUGAGAGGGCGAUCGGCCACACUGGAACUGAGAUACGGUCCAGACUCCUACGGGAGGCAGCAGUGGGGAAUAUUGGGCAAUGGGAGAAAUCCUGACCCAGCAACGCCGCGUGAAUGAAGAAGGCCUUUGGGUCGUAAAGUUCUUUUGUGCGGGAAGAAGGAAGUGACGGUACCGUACGAAUAAGCCCCGGCUAACUACGUGCCAGCAGCCGCGGUAAUACGUAGGGGGCGAGCGUUGUCCGGAAUUACUGGGCGUAAAGGGCACGCGGGCGGUGCUGCAAGUCAGCUGUAAAAGGAUGCGGCUUAACCGUGUUUAGCAGUUGAAACUGCAGUGCUGGAGUAUCGGAGAGGCAAGUGGAAUUCCCAGUGUAGCGGUGAAAUGCGUAGAUAUUGGGAAGAACACCGGUGGCGAAGGCGACUUGCUGGCCGAUAACUGACGCUGAGGUGCGAAAGCCAGGGGAGCAAACGGGAUUAGAUACCCCGGUAGUCCUGGCGGUAAACGAUGAAUGCUGGGUGUGCGAGUAGAGAUAUUGGCGUGCCGUAGUUAACGCGAUAAGCAUUCCGCCUGGGGAGUACGGUCGCAAGAUUGAAACUCAAAGGAAUUGACGGGGGCCCGCACAAGCGGUGGAGCACGUGGUUUAAUUCGAUGCAACCGAAGAACCUUACCUGGGUUUGACAUGUACGUGGCAGAGUUUGAAAGGACGACGACUGUAUCGCAAGGUAUGGAGCGUACACAGUGCUGCAUGCUGUCGU